CGGGCCGCGUCGACCUCCGAAUGGCGUAUAGAUAUACAUGGGAGUCAGACUGCGGGAUAUAAAUUCCGUAGUCAAAAGGGAAACAGCCCAGAUCUACAGCUAAGGUCCCAAAGUACAUGUUAAGUGGUAAAGGAUGUGGGAUUUCAUAGACAACUAGGAUGUUGGCUUAGAAGCAGCCACACAUUCAAAGAGUGCGUAAUAGCUCACUAGUCGAGAGGUCCUGCGCCGAAAAUUAACGGGGCUAAAACAUGACACCGAAGCUUAGGGAUGGUGAAUACCAUCGGUAGAGGAGCAUUGAAAACACGUAGAAGCGGUACCGGAAGGAGCCGUGGAGAGUUUUGAAGAGAGAAUGCCGGAAUGAGUAGCGAGAUGGAGGUGAGAAUCCUCCAGGCCGAAUAUCUAAGGUUCCAGGGUAAGCUGAUCGUGCCCGUGGGUAAGUCGGGGCCUAAGGCGAGGCUGAGAAGCGUAGUCGAUGGACAACGUGGUGUAGGAUUCCAGGUACCUUACUAAAUCAGGAAAUGUGGGAACACGAUGGAAGAAGAAGGG
rnacentral:rRNA from 1 species